GCUGAAACUGCUCACGAUAUCAAUGAAACGUUUGGUGAGGAAAUGACCAGUGAGUGGUCAGCUUGAAAAUAGGUUAAACAAUUUCGCAAUGGAGACCUGAGCCUUGAAGAUCAUGAGCAUAGCAGACGCCCAUAUGUCAUCGAUGACAAUCAAUUAAAGACUGUCAUUGAAAAAGAUCCAGAUAAAACCACUUGAGAACUGGCAAAAGAACUUCAAGUUAGCCAGAAAACUGCCUGUAACCAUUUGCAUGUGAUCUGAAAAUUUUUAAAAACUCUACAAAUGAUUUGAAUGAAAUUCAGAAAAUGUGCAGAUAUGAAAUUUGCUUGUCACUUCUCCGUAACCAGACCAAUCCAUUUCUCGACUGUAUUGUAAUUUGCGAUGAAAAUUGGAUUCUGUACAAUAAUAAAAAACGUUCUUGGCAGUGGUUGGACCAAAAUUAAGCACUGGAGACCUUCCUUAAAUGCGAGCUCUUCAAAAAGAAGGUUAUGGUGAUUGUUUGGUGAUGUACGGCUGGACACAUCCAUUAUAACUUCCUAAAACCCGGAAAAACCAUUACUGCAGAAACAUAUUGCCAUGAAAUUAACAAAAUGAAUGAAAAACUGCUGCUACUCUGUCCCAGACUGGUCAACAGAAGAGAGCCAAUCGUUCUUCAUGACAAUGCUUGACCAUAUGUUUCACUAAUGACGCUCCAGAGGUUGAAGGAACUUGGCUACGAAUUUAUUCCCUAUCCAGCUUAUUCCACAUACCUUUCUCCUACCGACUACCACUUUUUCAAGCACCUUGAUGGUUUCUUCCAAGAGAAGGAAUUCAAAAUCAAACUGAUGCUGAAAGUGCAUUCAAAGAGUGCAUCAGCUCCGGAACUCCAGAUUUUUCUGUUACCAGAAUAAAUAAACUCGUAACUCGUUGGUAAAACUGUGUUCAUUGUAAUGGUACUUACUUUGAUGAAUAAAAUUUCCGCAUUUUUGAAA